AGCCAACAUAUAGUUCACUUAGCUAGGUUAAACCACUGAGCAAAAUUAUGUGUUCUGGGAAGAGAUUCAUCUAGCGCUCUGGCUGCUUAGGCAGUCUGCUGCCAGACCUAAGAAGUCAGUAACGACCUGGUCUCUAACCACACUGCAUUGCUGAAGUUUCUCAGGAGGCUGAAGUAUGACCCAAAACUUCAGUGUUUCAUGAAAUCUAGAGAUACUGCAUGGUCUCAAACAGCUGUGGAGCCUAUCUGCAUGAAAACGGACAGUUGGCACGAUGUUCCUACCAUGCAAAAAUCUGCCAUUUUGUUUCAGGAGCACGUUCCUACUGUGACCACAGUAAAAUCGGAUUCUAAGCACUACAGCUUCAGAAACAAUGGACUCCAUGCUGAGCUUGGGAAAGAAGGAAGUCUGUUAGUGGUAUGGUGACAGGAGGCUUUCAUGGGUCUGCUCCCACGGAAGCAUCAUCCAUGCAAAGUCUACAUAUGGAAACUGGAUGAUGAAAUACAGGAACAGCUAAGUUCAUAAACAACUAAAUAUUUUUAGAGAUGUGUCCAUAAAUGAGUCCCAAAAUUAUGUUGUUGAACUCCAAGCACGGCAGAAGCCCUGUGGAAGAGUACAUCAGCAAACCUACAGGUCCAGAGGAGGGCCACUGUCAUGGUUUUGUAACUUUGCUAUUGGUAUUCCACAUCAUAACAUCAUGGACAAAAGAGAAGAACUACGUAUCCCAGAGGACCUCACGGUCAGAGAAGGAAGAUACAUCACGGAAGAUACGUCAUCUGGUUGUGCGUGGUCUUUUUCACUUUCGCUUGCUGCCAGAGAGGAGUGAAUGUGCUUCCAAGCUGUGCGCCUUCAUCAAGUAGGGCUUUCGGUUUCGGAAACUCUCUCUCUCUCUCUCUCUAUUGCUCUUUUGCUCUCUCUCAUUUCAUUUGAUUUAUUA
rnacentral:lncRNA from 1 species